rnacentral:lncRNA from 1 species
CGAAAUCUUUGGGGAGAUUGUUGGUGGGGAGGAUGGGGGCCUUCUGCGCGUGCGCUGGCAAGCGGAGCGGUUUCAGGCCGAGGAACUUGCGGUGGAACUCCGCCGGAGUGAGAUCGGAGAAUUUAGUGACGCCGUGGACGGCGGAGGGGUCGAGUUGCGCGUGAAGCCUAGCCCUGCGCAUGUUUGACUUGAAUACGCCGAAGCGAUGAUCGUGCUCCUCCUUCGUCGCGUAGGUUUUCCCGAACUUCGCCUUGAAGGUCGAGAAGUGGUGCUCCGCGUUCAGCAGGUGGUCCUCCACCUCGCCCUCCGGCACCACCUGACGGAUCAGGAUGUCGUCGGCGUCGGUGCUGGCCCCACCUGCGGCGGCGGCCACGGCGGCGAAGAGGAGGAGAGCGCAGAGGGUGUAGCGAGCCAUGGGGAAGUCAAAGGGAAAUGGAUUGGGAGAAGAUGGAAUUGGUGGAAAUUUAACAGCAGCUUGGCCAAUGAAAUUUUGACACGUGUCAACGACGUCGUUUUCUAAAAUUUGGGAGUGCACUCCUCAGCUAACACUAUCCCCUAACAAUAAACUAAUAACGUGUUCGUGUGAUGUACGCAAAAC